rnacentral:rRNA from 1 species
GAUGAACGCUGGCGGCGUGCUUAACACAUGCAAGUCGAACGGGAAACCUUUUAUUGAAGCUUCGGCAGAUUUAGCUGGUUUCUAGUGGCGGACGGGUGAGUAACGCGUGGGUAACCUGCCCUAUACAGGGGGAUAACAACCAGAAAUGGUUGCUAAUACCGCAUAAGCGCACAGGGCCGCAUGGUCCGGUGUGAAAAACUCCGGUGGUAUAGGAUGGACCCGCGUUGGAUUAGCCAGUUGGCAGGGUAACGGCCUACCAAAGCGACGAUCCAUAGCCGGCCUGAGAGGGUGAACGGCCACAUUGGGACUGAGACACGGCCCAGACUCCUACGGGAGGCAGCAGUGGGGAAUAUUGCACAAUGGGGGAAACCCUGAUGCAGCGACUCCGCGUGAAGGAAGAAGUAUCUCGGUAUGUAAACUUCUAUCAGCAGGGAAGAUAGUGACGGUACCUGACUAAGAAGCCCCGGCUAACUACGUG